GGAGAGGUAGCUCAGUCGGUUAGAGCACUAGCCUGAAAAACUAGGUGUCGGUGGUUCAAUUCCACCCCUCUCCA
rnacentral:tRNA from 2 species